UCCUGACGUUCCCCGCGAAUUUUAUCCACGCCGCUCCGCCGAAUCCACUCAUUUUCCACACCUACCUGACAUGCGGCAUUUGCGGGGAGAAAGGGCUAAAGAUAAUCAUCGCAUCACUCCGAUGUGGAUUUUUACACAUUUUGGUAUUUUGAGCUGAGCGGGUUUGAUAGCGGGACAACUUUCCUUCACGACGCAGAGACAGAAACAGACAACAAUAGAUUAUAAAACGGUCUGCUGCAGUUCAGCUGCAAGGUGAAGGACUGGAGACGAUAUGACAUUUUUGCAUUUUCUCACAUCCAACAAAAUCCCGGAAAUCAACGGAGAGCCCCGCCGCCCUGGCCUGCCAUAUGUCAUUUUCAGCGAGGUCAUCUCAGGAGAGCAGCGGGUGCAGGAAAUGUGGGAAACGUACAGGAGUUUUUUCUUUUUUUUUUCUUUCUUUGGGUGGGGUUUUUGUCUCGCUUUAUUGCGGCCACGUUUUACGCGCACGCCAUUUUUUCCCCCGUGCGCUUUUACGCACAGCGACACUGACUGAAAGUGGAGUGAAGAGGACAAAAGAGAAGGCAAAGAGCACCGGGGGCCACGCGCUGGUUGAGGUAGUAGUUUGUGCUGUUGAUCGGGUUGUCGUAUUACCCCUUGUGGAGAUGACUGCGCAAUCUACUGCCUUGCCGGCGCUGGUGACUUGCGACAGAGGAGCCAAAACCGGAUCAACGCGAAUGACUGAGCUCACUGUGUUUUGUAAACAGCAUCAAUUUAACGGAGACGAAUGUGCCUUGAAAAUAAUCACGUCUCCUGUGAAAUGUAGUGCGUAAAUUUCCAGAAGGUGUCAACUGGAACCAAUGAAUGAGAGCAGUGCAAAACUAAAAUGUCUCUGGUUUUACAUGCAUAUUGAAAUAAAGUGAUUUUAAUGGUA